AGGAACAAAUAACUAUACUAUUUAAACAAAUCAUUUGCUAUGUGAGCCAUAUCAAGGUAAUUUUGUAUAUCUUUCACAAUCCAGAGUUUCAUUGUUUUGGCUCUUCCAUGAGAUGGGUUCUGUAAACUCUUUUCUUCUUGGGAUUAAUAGCUUUUUAUUGAUUACUAGUUGAAGUUAUGCGGUAAAGGGUGGAUCGGAUUGUCGAUUCCAUGGUUGCCAAGUGCUAUAUGAGCUAGCCUUUGGACACUAGAUGCUCGUGGCGCUUGCUCCUUGGAAGCUCAGCCUCAGGAAAGAUAGGUGAGCUAACUCCCAUCUCUUGGUGAUUGGUCACUUUAUUAUUUGUUGAUUGAGUGCGGGAAGCCUACGGCACUGGGUAUGUUUUUAUUGAUUUACACUUUCUGUGGUUUAAUAUUAAACAAGUCUUUUGUCAGUAGGAAAAAUGUAUAGUAAUAGGAUUUAUUGUCCUUAUGUGUUGAGACUGUCACUGUUUUCUAGUAAAAAUCUCUUUCAGAAUUCAUUAUUAUGUGCGAUAUGGAGAAAGAAUGUGCAGAAAUGAUGCACUCUUUUGCAGUGAUCAUAGCUGUUUACUUUGUGAGUUAGUGUGUUCAGUCCUUUGCUGCUGUGUAGUAAAUUUUAUUUCUUUUUUGUUUUACCCGAGCAAAAUAUCUGACCAGCAGUCUCUCGCCUCCUACCUACUACAAAUCCAUCCAUUCAUCUUCAGGAUCAGGAUGCUUUUCAGAACAUCUUUCUCUUUGGUUCCUGUUUAUGUCCGUUUACUAAUCUAUUCCUCCCAAUUUAUUUUGCUUUAAUGGCAUAACGGCAUUGAAACUAUCUCUUCCUGUUUAGGUGCAAGUGCUUUGGCAGAUGAAGUAAAUGUAUGUAUGAAGUUCCUUUUAUCAGUCUUGUAGCAGGGGUUAAUAGUUUUUGUCCUGAUGUAUGAUCAGGUCUGUUGAUUGUUGAAGGUGAUAUUAAACUGAACUCUGCUCUCUCCACUGUGAUAACUUGCUAGCUCUGCUCUUAGAACCUGAUCUCAGACUUAAGUCCAGUGGUCGCUCAAGUUCUAAUACUUGAACAUGGCUAUGCAUUCUGUAAAUUCUAAAGCACAUCAAAAGUGAUAUAAAUUCUUUUUAGGUUUCAAUAUAGUUAUAUAAAAUCAGCUCCACAUUUCUACUGUUUGGAUUUUUUUUUCUCUUUCUGAGCUAUCCUUUAUAUGAAUUUGGUAAGAUUGUGUUCAAGGAUCUUAUUUACAGGUGGGUGUUUUGAUCAAGUUGUGCUGAAGAUCUCUGGCCUCAGAAGAAACUAAGGUGGCUGAUGAUGCCAGAAGAUCAUAACUGCACUUGCCACACAUGUAAAAUACACUCGGAUGCAGCUAUGCAUAUUUGUGGACUGGAGAUGUGCUGAACUUUUACUUUUAGUCGAAGCUAUGGAGUCAGUUCCCCCUGAUGAUAUAUAUCAUAGAUUUCAAGUGCAAAUGCCCAAUAUUGGACUAUAAAAGUAGUUUAAUCUUCAUAAUGUGUAGAAACGUUACUUCAAGAGCACGUGUAUAAUAUCACUUGUACAGCUGACAAGACUUUAAAAGUAGUUUCCGAGCACGUGUAUAAAAUGUUAAGCUACUCCGAAGACUUGUCAGCUGUACAAAUGUCAAGCUGUUUCCGAGCACGUGUUUAAAAUCUUAUUAUUUGUAUUUUGGUGACUGUUUUUGUUAAAAAUGAAGAACUUUGCUA